rnacentral:rRNA from 1 species
CCAAUAGCGUAUAUUAAAGUUGCUGCAGUUAAAAAGCUCGUAGUUGAAUUUCGGGACCAAUAUGUCGGUCGUGCCUCGGUACGUACUGGCAUCGUUGGUUUCUCCCUUCUGAAGAACCAUGAUGUCAUUUAUUUGGUGUCGUGGGGAAUCAGGACUGUUACUUUGAAAAAAUUAGAGUGUUUAAAGCAGGCUCACGCUUGAAUACAUUAGCAUGGAAUAAUGAAAUAGGACGUUUGAUUCUAUUUUGUUGGUUUCUAGGAUCGACGUAAUGAUUAAUAGGGAUAGUUGGGGGCAUUAGUAUUCAAUUGUCAGAGGUGAAAUUCUUGGAUUUAUUGAAGACUAACUACUGCGAAAGCAUUUGCCAAGGAUGUUUUCAUUAAUCAAGAACGAAAGUUAGGGGAUCGAAGACGAUCAGAUACCGUCGUAGUCUUGACCAUAAACUAUGCCGACUAGGGAUCGGAUGAUGUUAAUUUUUUAAUGACUCAUUCGGCGCCUUACG